UGUAAUAGUUUUGUACAACAUUACGUAUCCAGAAUUGCACGUAACCUUUGUAUCUAAGGGAAGAUUGGAAAAUUCUACGGCAAUGGCAUAAACUCGUCUAUGAGUUUAUAUACUAAGCGACUGCAUCAACCUGUGAUUGGCAAGAAAAAGAAUAACUUGGAAUGGCGUUUGGCUAAUAAUUCAGGACUACCUCUUAGGCAUCGUAAAUAGAGGUGGAACUGGAUUUCAAAAUGGCGUCUGGUUCCAGUGACGAAGGUCGGGAUUCACCUGAUGAAGGCACACUUUCGGGUAAGUAAUCCUUCAUAGCUAUUUGUGAUUUAUUUCACGUCCGACCACCUAUUGAAAUCAUGAAUAUGACCUGUACAUAGUCAUAUAUUAAGAUAAUUCACGUUUAUGCUGUGAGAAAUCUUCAUUGUGUUCCUUGUAUAUGAAGACAAAUUUAUAAUAUCAAGCUGCAAAUGCUUCGCUUGCUGAGUGGAUUGAAUCUAUAGUGGUCAUUAUAAUUCUUAAUCCCGAUAUCAAAACCAUGUUUAACGUGGUUGUGCCUGAUGAUAAGAAACCUGAUAGUUUGAUCUUCAUCUGUAAACAAUGCUGCAAAUCCUGAACUAGACUUCCUGAUAACCAGGUAUGCUAGGAAAACAUUAUCCAAUUUGUCAAUAGAGGAAAAACUUACUGAUCAGAUUUCUUUUAACAAUCUUGAUCCUCCGCUCUGACACAUCAUUCUGAUAUCGACGGAAUUAGUGAAGCCUACAGAGAGAUAUCAAAUCCCCCAAAAUACACAUU